GCGGUGGAUGAUGUGGAUUAAUUCGAUGCAACGCGAAAACCUUAACCUACCCUUGACAUGUACCGGAAUCCCGAAGAGAUUUGGGAGUGCUCGCAAGAGAACCGGAACACAGGUGCUGCAUGGCUGUCGUCAGCUCGUGUCGUGAGAUGUUGGGUUAAGUCCCGCAACGAGCGCAACCCUUGUCAUUAGUUGCCACCAUUCAGUUGGGCACUCUAAUGAGACUGCCGGUGACAAACCGGAGGAAGGUGGGGAUGACGUCAAGUCCUCAUGGCCCUUAUGGGUAGGGCUUCACACGUCAUACAAUGGUCGGUACAGAGGGUCGCCAACCCGCGAGGGGGAGCCAAUCCCACAAAGCCGAUCGUAGUCCGGAUUGGAGUCUGCAACUCGACUCCAUGAAGUCGGAAUCGCUAGUAAUCGUGGAUCAGCAUGUCACGGUGAAUACGUUCCCGGGUCUU
rnacentral:rRNA from 1 species